GUCGAACGGCAGCACGGACUUCGGUCUGGUGGCGAGUGGCGAACGGGUGAGUAAUACAUCGGAACGUGUCCUGGAGUGGGGGAUAGCCCGGCGAAAGCCGGAUUAAUACCGCAUACGCUCUGUGGAGGAAAGCGGGGGAUCUUUCGGGACCUCGCGCUCAAGGGGCGGCCGAUGGCAGAUUAGCUAGUUGGUGGGGUAAAGGCCUACCAAGGCGACGAUCUGUAGCUGGUCUGAGAGGACGACCAGCCACACUGGGACUGAGACACGGCCCAGACUCCUACGGGAGGCAGCAGUGGGGAAUUUUGGACAAUGGGCGCAAGCCUGAUCCAGCAAUGCCGCGUGUGUGAAGAAGGCCUUCGGGUUGUAAAGCACUUUUGUCCGGAAAGAAAACCUUUGGGCUAAUACCCUGGGGGGAUGACGGUACCGGAAGAAUAAGCACCGGCUAACUACGUGCCAGCAGCCGCGGUAAUACGUAGGGUGCAAGCGUUAAUCGGAAUUACUGGGCGUAAAGCGUGCGCAGGCGGUUCGCUAAGACAGAUGUGAAAUCCCCGGGCUUAACCUGGGAACUGCAUUUGUGACUGGCGGGCUAGAGUAUGGCAGAGGGGGGUAGAAUUCCACGUGUAGCAGUGAAAUGCGUAGAGAUGUGGAGGA
rnacentral:rRNA from 1 species